AGCUUCGUGGCGCAGUAGAAGCGCGCCGGGCUCAUAACCCGGAGGUCCUCCGAUCAAAGCAGAGUGAAGCUA
rnacentral:tRNA from 1 species